CCCUUAGAUGUUCUGGGCCGCACGCGCGCUACACUGUUCGACGCAGCGAGUCUUAACCUUGACCGAAAGGUUUGGGUAAUCUUCAGCAAAGUCGAACGUGAUGGGGAUCGAUCAUUGCAAUUAUUGAUCGUGAACGAGGAAUUCCUAGUAAGUGCAAGUCAUCAGCUUGCGCUGAUUACGUCCCUGCCCUUUGUACACACCGCCCGUCGCUACUACCGAUUGAAUGGUUUAGUGAGAUCUCUGGAUUGACGCUGGCUAGGGGGCGACCCUUGGCCAGACUGCUCGAGAAACUGCUAAAACUUGAUCAUUUAGAGGAAGUAAAAGUCGUAACA
rnacentral:rRNA from 1 species